GAUGAACGCUGGCGGCGUGCCUAAUACAUGCAAGUCGAGCGAACAGACGAGGAGCUUGCUCCUCUGACGUUAGCGGCGGACGGGUGAGUAACACGUGGAUAACCUACCUAUAAGACUGGGAUAACUUCGGGAAACCGGAGCUAAUACCGGAUAAUAUAUUGAACCGCAUGGUUCAAUAGUGAAAGACGGUUUUGCUGUCACUUAUAGAUGGAUCCGCGCCGCAUUUGCUAGUUGGUAAGGUAACGGCUUACCAAGGCGACGAUGCGUAGCCGACCUGAGAGGGUGAUCGGCCACACUGGAACUGAGACACGGUCCAGACUCCUACGGGAGGCAGCAGUAGGGAAUCUUCCGCAAUGGGCGAAAGCCUGACGGAGCAACGCCGCGUGAGUGAUGAAGGUCUUCGGAUCGUAAAACUCUGUUAUUAGGGAAGAACAAAUGUGUAAGUAACUAUGCACGUCUUGACGGUACCUAAUCAGAAAGCCACGGCUAACUACGUG
rnacentral:rRNA from 1 species